GCCUGGUGGGCAAGCACCCGGGCUCAGUCCCCGUGAGGGUGCCUCUGAAGCCUCAGCCCCCUGGGUUCGAUCCUCAGCACCAUAUAAAACUAAAUAAAUAAACAAAAUAAGGGUAUUGUGUCUUACCGAAAAAUAAAUAUUUUUUUUAAAAAGAAAUAAAGAAAAAGCUUCCUAUAGAGAUCAUUUCUGCAAAAAAUAUAUUUUGAAAAUAAUUUUGUACUACAAAACUCAAAGCUUAACUUUUUCUAAAAUGAACUUUAAAAAAACACUAUGACUAUGAUAAAUAUUCAGUGCCUAUCACUUUGUAAUAAAACAGGUACAAGCAUCCAAGCACACUACACAACAACAUUCUGCAUUUAAUCCAAGGGGGAAUCCUGUCCCCUCUUGUGAUUUUUUUCCAUAUAGUAAUUUGUUAUUAAAUCUAUCUCAAGGUGCCAUUUGUGAGACCCCCCCAAAACCAAACCAUUAAUCAGAAUUAAUGACAAGAGAAAGAUAAAAGCACACAGCCAUCCUUGGGUGACAGUAGCCUGUUAUACAAAUCAGAAAGCUGUAAAAACCAUAGACACUGUAAUUUUGUAAAGACUGGCAGGGGGGAAAAAAAAGAAAAAGAAAAUAAUUUUGUAGCAUAUUUCUAGUCCCUUUUUUCAAAUGAACCAAUGAUACUUUCUUUGGUCUCCAAGGUAGCAUUUCAGAAAAGAGACAAAACAGCUGUUACCAUCGGUGUUUCCAGAACUAACCUGACUGUCUUAAGAGGCUGACUUCUGGAAGGAGCCAGGGUUAGUGCUGACGCUGUUGGGGCCACGCCGAGCAACUCAUUUUCCUCCCCAUGAAGACCUACUGGGUGGCUGCGAUUCAUGACGCAGAGCACGUGUGCUGUGGCUUGGCUCUUAGUCAAGCUUCCGCGGUGUCCAGUGUCCUCGGGGCAGGGCCCGUGCAAAAGAAAUGCUCAACGCGUCAUCUUUCACUGCGUAGCUGCCUUUACAGUCUUAGGAUGUCCUUGACAGAUUAAAACUGGUAACGCACCGGCUUAUGCAAGCUCUUCUUUUCAACAAUUUUGCCAAGAGUUUUGUAUCGACCAUAAACAGGGAUUCCUCACAACCCCCAAGGUCAAGCCACUGUGGAACGAGCUCAUUUAUCCAUUAAGCUACAAUUACAAAAACUAAAAAGGGGGAGAUAGGACUAGGACUCCCCAAAACAACCUCAAUCAUGCUCUGUUCAUUCUGAAUUUUCUAAACUGUGACUCAGAGAAUCACACCGCAGCCGAGCGACACGUGGCUUCCACAGCAACAGGCCCUUUAGGCCGGGUUUGGUGGAAGGACUUACCGACUGGCCAAUGGAGAGGACCAGGUCCAGUUGUCAUGUGGGGAGAGGUCAUGCGUGUAUUUUCCCAGAAGAUGCUUCUUGUCCUAUUUGGGAACCUGAAUGCGCCAUCAGGCAUGGAGGACCUAGAACCAAGAUUCAAACCGCUGAAGAUGGACCCAGAGAACCCUUCCCUCAAAAGGAAGAACUCCCAAAGGAAGAGGGGAAGAAAGAUGUCCCCGAGAAACUGAAUGAGGACGCUCCCGUCACGGAAGGACCCAGGAGACUGACUCCACGGCAGGGGAGAGUGAGUCCCCAGCGACGAUGCUCUCUGCAGUGACCCUCCAUUGAGCUGUGGUAAAGGGGAAUCGGGGGAACCACUGGACAUGGCUCCAGCCCACCCUGAGUGCACCCAGCGGUGUGGACUGGAGAAUGCACCCAGGACUUACUAAUGACUCAGGUACGCUGGGAGGGUUUGCAGACACCCACUUGACUCGGUCCGUGUGACGGGAUUUAACUAUUCUGCCUAUAGUGCCCAACUACCUUGGCUGGUCCCACGAUAGACAUGCUGGCUGUCUAAAAGUGUCAUUUGAGGAAAAGACAGGAGUUGGGGACCUAGACCAGCUAAUGGCACUGCCCCCAGGGCCUUAAAGCCUUAGAUCAGAUCAGUUAUUAAAACAGGACUUUCUCAUAACAACCCAGCCACCUCAGCAGAACGCCCACGAGUACCCACUGUCCCAACUGUUCUGCAGUAGAAGUUGGCACCUUUCCUAAGUGGGCAAACUGUGUAAGUACUUGUCCAAUUCGACAUAAGGUGUCUAGAACAGUGGGUCCACCUUGGACUGGUCUCCUAAAAUCGACAAAAGGCUGUUGUGCAAGGGCACUGCCACGACCCCUGGAGGAUUUGUUAGCACCAUCCUGACCUUCAGUGAAGGUGGCAUUCAGAAAGGUGUCUGGUGCCUACAUCUUGCUGACCGACCUUUACCAGAGUUCGUCGGCAGAAACUGGAAGGAAGGUCCUUGCUCUGGCCUACGGGCCUGUGUUCGGUCUCCUUAGGUUUUAAUCACUGGACGUGGGAAGUGGGAAGGAGAGGUGACAGAUACCUUGUGACAUGUGAUAAAGGUAAUCUGAAUGACUCUAUCACCAGGUGUAUAAGGGGAGGAAUGCAGAUGCUCCUCAGCCCUCUUUUGUCUCGUUGCCAGCGAUUAUUUCAGGGCCGUGGUGCGCCGAUGCUGGUUCUCAGGUCUUAAACACACACACGCCCAGUGAGCGAGACCAACGUGCUCCUGGACCCGUGACAGUGGGAGCUGUUGCCUCGGUUUCCAGCUCCGGUGGCCUUAUCUGAAAACAUUCAGCAUGCAGAUUUUCUUAAUGCUUUGGCUCAGAUUUCUUCCAAGGCUCUUCAUAGUCAAAUAAAUAUUGAUGAAAGGACUGAGACUAAGCCAGAUGCCUUAGAGGCUACUGUCAUAAAUACUGGUCAUGAGCUUGCAGCUUUGAAAUUCAAGGAAACACUUCAAUGUCACGCGGACUGUAAGUCUGUGGGUGUUACUGCUGCCGAAUACACGGCUCCCCAACGGGGUUGGGAGAAGGUUGACAACCAUUUGUUGGGUAUUUGGCAAAAUAAUAAUAACAGCUUGGAUCUUUUGGAGUUACAUCAUCACAUUCAAGAAAUACAAAAAAGUGAGAUUGAUUUUUCGGCUCCUGCUUCCUUAGCUGAUCAAAUAUUAAAAGAAUUAAACGGCUUUAACCCUGAAACAUUCUGAAACACUCUGCCUGGUCUAUCCUUGUCUUGUUCUCUUUGCUGCGGAUUCUCUCUUAUAUUGUCAUUGUAGGAGGAGAUCCUUCAGAACAUGGAUUCAGGGACUCGAAACAGUGACCCAUCACCUGCUUUUACAAAGAAAGCAGGGGGAACAUGUGGGAGCCACUCUGAACGAUUUGCCCCUUCCAUCCUGGAGCAGAGAGGCUCUGACCACCACUGCAUCUCCUGGUGACCUGGACAUUGCCCCGCCCUGGAAGUUUGAGGACGCAUCUUCAGACAUAGGUGUGUCGCCCCAUGGCCCUUUGGACGAAUUACACUCACCUGUCCCUUGUAACCCUGCCCCUUCUGGCCUUUUGUGGAUGGAACUUUCUAAGAAUAAGGUCCCCCCAAUAAAAGCCCACUUAUGAACGUGC